rnacentral:lncRNA from 1 species
AGGACGACGCUAAAUUAUACAAACCAUUGUCAACGCACAAACAGACCGGACUGGCCAUUGCUAAGAGCAUUAAGUUGGCUGGCGACGCAAAAUUAUUGUGCAGGGAGAUUGCUGGUCAUGUCGAAUUUUACAGAUGAUGGGCAUGUCGAAUUUUACAGAUGAUGGGCAUUUACUGGACGGAUGGGCAGCCUGCAGCUUCCUUAUGCGCGUAUGAUCGACUUGCCCAACUUGUAUUCGGUAUUUUGCUACUCGGAUCUUAUUUAUAUCAAUUAU